AGCUUUGUGCAGUGGCAGUAUCGUAGCCAAUGAGGUUUAUCCGAGGUGCGAUUAUUGCUAAUUGAAAAAAAUUAAAAAAAAAAAAAGUUUCUAUAAACACGCAUGUGCAGGUUUUCUUGUGAACAUGAGUUUUCAACUCAUUUGUGCACAUAUGAAGGAGUAUAAUUGCU
rnacentral:snRNA from 1 species